rnacentral:rRNA from 1 species
CCUUUACAAUGAACGAAAGUUUGAUAAGGGGACUCCGAGUGCUCUUAGGAAACUAAGGGCUUUUGUUAAGUGUAGAUAGCUUGAUGAAUAAGGACUGGGUAAGACCCGUGCCAGCCGCCGCGGUAAUACGGGCAGUUCUAGUGGUAUCCACGUAUAUUGGGCUUAAAGCGUCCGUAGCUGGUCCAGAAAGUUUCUAGUGAAAGCUCGCAGCUUAACUGAUGAGAGGUGCUAGAAAACUUUUGGACUUGGAGCGGGAGAGGUAAGAGGUACUUUUGGGGUAGCGGUUAAAUGUGUUAAUCCUGAAGGGACCACCGGUAGCGAAGGCGUCUUACUAGAACGC